AUCUCAGGUCCGUGGCGCUAGUGGAAGCCCUGAGGUGCAGCUCCUGGGCUCGGAGCGGGAAGAAACCACGUGAUUCGGAAACCCCUGUUGGAGAAUAACUAUAUCAUGUGACCAAAUCAGGAUUGAUGGUGCCCUAUAACAUACGUCGUUUCUUAGUUUUUAUGAGAACUAAGAUCUUGACCUUGUCCCACUGCUUCCAGAGACCAGUGAGGCUUCCAACAGCCUACA